rnacentral:lncRNA from 1 species
CAAAGCCCAGGUCUUGACAUAGAUACAGAUAACAUACACGCCCAGAUGAUGUCACAAUCAGCUGUAUCUAAACAGAGCAGAGCUCAGGUGACAUCACAGAACAGGCAGAGGCAGUUCAGGGGUAUUCUGGUUGCCUUACCCAGCUCUGAAGUCUGUCAGCCUCUUCAGAUGUCACUUGCCAUGUGGUAAGGAAGUGUAGUCAGCAGCUGGUGCAGUGGGAAGAAGAGAAAGGAAGUUCCCCAAGACAAAAACAUCUCGGCAGACCGUGAUCAUGGGCUACAUUCUCCGUACCAGCUUCAUAGCUCCAGUGAGAAAAUAAAUUCCUGCAUCCAGGAGAUGUGGAGUAAGAGAUACAGCUGCCCUUGACCAUAUUUCUUACUUCCGAGAAGAUCGUAGCAGUAAUUCAGAAUCUCAUCCAGGAUACCUCAUCACAGGCUGGAGUGCAGUGUCAUGAGCUUGGCUCACUACAGCCUCCAUCUUCUGUGCUUAAGGAUCCUUCCCUCUCAACCUCCAAGGUAGCUGAGACUACAGGCAACAUUCGAAACCCAGGUGCCACUCCUUCAGGAAGGUACCAUCAAGCUCCAAGGACUCAUCCUCUUUCUCCUUCCCCACUACCUAGUCAUUAGAGCGUCAGCAUCCACUUCCUGAAAGGAAGAUGCCUGUUUUUCACAUAUCCCAGAAAGCCUCAUUUUAGGACAGCAUUUAGCAGAGUGUAUUCAGGAUCCCACUAACCUUUUCGGAAGACAUGACUUCCAGAUGAUAUAAGGCAAGAAUAAGAAAUUUCAGUGACAGGGAACAGAAAUCAUAUUUCUGCAUUCAGGAUCAUGUUUUCUUGGCUCCAUCAGGAACUGUGCAGGACUGUGCACUCUGUUGAUACUCACAUGGUGGAAUUAUAUUGCCCUUGGCCAACCCUAAAGCCAUCAAGAUAGCAGCAACUACUCUAUCAUUACUGUACCACCACCUGUAUGGAUCUCGUUGCCCAUAUGAAACUGAGUAAGGAACAAUGUGCAUCACACUCACAGAGAAAGAUGGACAAGUUUGGAAUAAUUCACUGUCGAAGUCUUCUUGAGCUGAGCAGUCAUGUGAGCUUGGAAGAUGAUCCCUCUCCAGCUGAUCCUUCAGCUCAGGCCAUCAUCUACAUCUGGAUUCCUGACCCGGAGAAACUAUGAGUAAUGUGUGCUGCUUUUGAGCCACUAAGCUACAUGAAUUAAUGAAGGAUCAUUAUUAAGUUUUUAAUGGGUCAAGAGAAAGUUACCACUGAGGUCUUCUCUACCUGGGCAACAAUUGACUCCUAACAACCACUAUAAGCUUGGAAGAUGAUCCCUCCCCAGCUGAUCCUUCAGUUCACAUGAAGCAUUUGGAAGUAAACACACGAUGGACUGAACACUUUGCUGCUUAGAAACUUCUUCUUCCAGAUUCCCUAGUUCAUCAUUAAGUAGUUAGGCCUCUCACAAAGCCCUUGGUCACGGAUACAGGUCCUUGGAAAAAACUCAACCAAUUGUCAACCAGAAAAUGCUUAAAUUUAUCUAUAGCCUGUAACCCCACCCCCCACUCCCUACCCUGCUUCAAGCUGUCCUGCCUUUCUGGAACAAACCAAUGUAUUCCUUAAACAUAUUUGAUUGCUGUCUCAUGCUUCCCUAAAAUGUAUAAAACCAAGCUGUACCCCAACCACCUUGGGCACAUGUUCUCAGGACUUCCUGAGGGCUGUGUCAUGGGCCAUGGUCACUCAUAUUUUGCUCAGAAUAAAUCUCUCUAAAUAUUUUA